rnacentral:rRNA from 1 species
AUGGAGGGGGAAAUGGUGGAGGCCGCGUUCUUCUUCAACGACCGUAAAAUGGUGGACUCCUCCAAGCUUCGGGCCACCGUUCGCGUCUUCUUCAACGACCUAGGCUACGACCACAAGAUCGCACCCGAGCCGCCCAACCAUGUGGGAUGCCCUCGCUAUUUGGAUGAUGGCCACUACGGGGGCGGCACAGGAGGGUAUGAUGACUAUCACGGCGAGCACCACCACCACUCGCACCACUCCAACUUGGACGACAAUGAGACCUCAGACCGCAGCUGCUCCCCCUCACACAAGCCUUCGGAUCCGGCCUUGGGCCGUGGUGGCACGGUGGUUAGGCAGACCCGUGAUGCGCUGCCAGUCCACCCACCCGUCUCCAGUCACAUCCGCCGAUCCAAUGGACCCAUGUCAGACUGCUCGUCACUCCGGCCUCCUCCUUGCGCUCCCCUCCUCCUUGCGCUCCCCUCCUCCUUGCGCUCCCCUCCCGAGGCUCUCACCAUCAACGUCUCCACCGCCACUGAAGACCCCGCCACCCGGCCCACCUUGGUGGCCCCUCCUCCCGACCUGGCGGCCACCCACCCCGAGCUCAAUGCAGCGCUGCCAUCUCCGGUUGUGCCUUCUCCCAUGGAGCAACUAGGGCAAGAGCCGCCUCCCCCGGCUGUGCAUCCGACCAAAGAGCAGCCCGGGCAGGCUCCCCUCUGUUGCGCCUCCUGCACGCCGCCUCUCCUGGGCACUCUGUGGCUUCCACCCCCUCGGGUGUUGGGGCCUGCACCUUGCGUCGCCCAGGCUUUGACCGCGGCGGCCCCGGGCACCCCGACGACCGCAGGCCUCAGUGGUGACCACUCCAAUGGCCUCCCACCCCCACCCACCGUGGACCGCGGCCUACUCCAGGCAGGCCAAGCCCGUGUCGACUCCGAAUCGGCUCCACUUGGUCAUCUGGCUAAGGUCGCGGCAGACUCGGCAAUCGUCUUUAGGGGGGAAUUAGGUCGCUCCUUAGUUCAGAUUGAGGCAAUUCACGCUCGCAAGAUCCUAGAUGGGAGGUUGACCGAGACUCACGCCCGCCUUGUCCGCGCUUCUACCUCCAAGACAUCCACCCUUCCCAAACCCCGUGGGUGGAAUUACCUCGACGGAGGAACUAAGCGAACGGACUUUGCCCUUCCAGAACUAGAACGGCCGAGCUCCCACCUGUUUGCCUUUCACUGGCUCCCUUCUAGUGGGAGCGCCAGCCAUUCGGGUGCCAUCCUUUUAGGCGUGAAGGAUGCCACCUUUGAGGCUCUCAACUUCAAACGGGAGAUUGUCAUAGUCUACGGCCCCACCGACUACUGCCGAUCAGCGGCCUUCCUCGACGAGCUUCAGAGGAAAGACUCGGCCGCCCAAUUGCUGGUGGUGAUUGGGGGCGACUUCAACCUCAUCCGAUCCGUCGAGGACAAAAGCAAUAAUCUAGUCAACCUCCCCCGGAUGCAAAUGUUCAACGACUGCAUCACUGAUCUUGGCCUCAGAGAAUUAGAUAGGAUAGGGGUCAGGGCCAACUCACGAUCAUCUAUACCGACGAGGAGGCUUACUGGCGCCAAGGUACCCAGGCGGUGGGACCUCCAGGGCGACACUAAAACAACAUACUUCCAACUUUCCAAGCAAUUGCCAACGGUCAGAGGCGUCGCAACACCAUCCCCCUCCUUUAGGACGGUGAUAACCUCCUCCAACGGCCGUCUGACAUUCGCGCCCACGUCGAUUGAUUCUACAAAGCCCUCUUCUCCCACUUCCCUAGGGGAGGAGUGGCCCUUGCUCCUAAUACUUGGACGGGCCACCAGCUUGUUUAGACAGUGGAUAACGCGGCCCUCACGGGCCCUUUUGCCGAGGAGUGUCACCAAGCCAGAAGUUAUGGCACUAUUUGGGGAGUUCUAUGUGGGAUCCAUAGACCUUACCCGGCUUAAUUACGAGAUUAUCACUCUAAUCCCCAAUGUUCCCGGGGCCUUAGACAUCCGCCAAUUUCGCCAGAUCACGGUGAUAAAUGUGAUCUUCCACAGUCUGGCAAAGGGGUACGACUAUAGGGUGACCCAUCCCAACCAAUCGGCCUUCAUCCAAGACCGAUACAUUUUGGAUGGGGUCUUGGUUUUCCAUGAGGUCCGUGCUAGACACCAGAAGGCGAUCUUCCGAAAGAUCGACAUCCAUAAAGCCAAUGACACGGUCCAUUGGUCCUUCAUUCGGGAAGUUUUGCUUCGUAAAGGCUUCGAUGAUCGCUGGGUCACCAGAGUUAUGCAGAUGGUGUCCAGCGGACGUACCGCGAUUAACAUUAACAGGGAGAUUGGUUGCUUCUCUCCCCACCCCUUGUGGAUUAGACAAGGUGACCCAUUCUCCCCCUUUCUGUUCAACAUGGUGAUCGAUGCCCUCGCAGCCAUCCUAGACAAAGCUAAAGCCGUGGGCCAUAUCCGUGGCGUGGUCCCUCAUCUUGUGGGAGGGGGUUGGGGUCUCCUACAAUACGCUGACGACACCAUUAUUAUGAUGUCGAGCCUCAGGGUCAACUUCGAAAAGAGCAAACAGUCCAUUAUACAACUCCUUUCGGUCCUUCGCAUCGGGACCACCAUCUCGGUGAGGUCCCACGCAUCAACCCUACUCUGGUUCGACCGGUCAGCGGAGGAUCGCCCAUUCGCUGCCAGAUUCCCAGAUUUCUUGUCCAUUGCGGUGGACCCUAGGAUCUCUGUCGAGGUGGCCCUUAUUGACUUGGGGUGCCUCGUGUUUCGGAGGCCAUUUGGGCCUUUGGAACUUGCCGCCUGGCACGAGCUCCUUGAGAGUAUCUCCCUCCAGUCCCAGACGUGGAUCAAACACACGGCCGCAUCUCCUGGCGCCUGGAGACGUCUGGCCGCUUCUCCACCAAAUUGCUCUAUUAGGCCGUUGCAUCUCCUGGCCCGGAGCCCCUAG